AACGAACGCUGGCGGCAGGCUUAACACAUGCAAGUCGAACGCCCCGCAAGGGGAGUGGCAGACGGGUGAGUAACGCGUGGGACCGUGCCCUUCGCCUCGGAAUAGCCCCGGGAAACUGGGAGUAAUACCGAAUACGCCGUAUUGGGAAAGAUUUAUCGGCGAAGGAUCGGCCCGCGUUGGAUUAGCUAGUUGGCGGUGUAAUGGACCACCAAGGCUACGAUACAUAGCUGGUCUGAGAGGAUGAUCAGCCACACUGGGACUGAGACACGGCCCAGACUCCUACGGGAGGCAGCAGUGGGGAAUCUUGGACAAUGGGCGCAAGCCUGAUCCAGCCAUGCCGCGUGAGUGAAGAAGGCCUUAGGGUUGUAAAACUCUUUCGCCGGAGAAGAUAAUGACGGUAUCCGGAGAAGAAGCCCCGGCUAACUUCGUGCCAGCCGCCGCGGUAAGAC
rnacentral:rRNA from 1 species